ensembl:lncRNA
GUGCAGUGAGUCACCAUGAGUCACAGUGCAGUGAGUUACAGUGAGUUACAGUGAGUCACAGUGAGUCACAGUGAGUCACAGUGCAGCGAGUCACAGUGAGUCACAUCACAGUGCAGUGAGUCACAGUGCAGUGAGUCACAGUGAGUCACAGUGCAGUGAGUCAUAGUGAGUCACAGUGCAGUGAGUUACAUUGCAGUGAGUCACCAUGAGUCACAGUGCAGUGAGUUAAAGUGCACUGAGUCACAGUGAGUCACAGUGCAGUGAGUCACAGUGAGUCACAAUGCAGUGAGUCACAGUACAGUGAGGGUCCAGUGAGAAGGGUAGGAAGAUGAUGAAGGAGAAGAGGCUCCUCCCACAACGUCUGUCUUAUAAAGAGUCCUUGUGGCGACUCGUCAUGCGGGUUGUAAAAGCUCGGAGGUCGUCGUCUUCCUAUUUUUUUUGUUAUUUUCAAACACCGUAUAAAACUGUCUCCUUCUAUCGGAACAACCGCACAAACACAACAAGAUACACAAGCAGACCCACACAACCCUGAUUCUCUUUUCUGUUUCAGGACCACUGGAAACAAACAGGCUAUGCCUGGUGGGUCUAUCAGGAUGAAACGAUGGAUUAGCUUACUAUUGGUUUCUAUCAGUAGAGGAUAGCGAGAUUUUCUUUGUAUUUUUUUUGCAUUGCAACUUCUCCCAUGCAGCCCUACUCAAAGUACACGGUCUAAAUCAGAAAGGGUGGACAAAGUCGACCUUAAAGAUGAACGAUUGAUAAUAUGGCAAACACAACUCUUCUAGACAAAGCCUUCAUGGUGGCAGGCUGGUUCAUUCCUCACAGCCUGAGACUCUGCCUGUUGGUGCACACAGUGAAACAACAGGGUUAGACUCAUCUCAGUAUAAUAUGCUCUGCCACACUCGCUGUACUGGUCUGAUGUGGGGCCCACUGGGCUUCCACUUUACAUUUUGGUUUCAAC